CUCAAUGUAGUAUAGAAUACCAUACAACACCGUUUUUCUGCUUUCUUUUUAUUCCUAAAUAAAUCAGAUGGGGUUGAUAAUGUUAGGUGUUCAUGUCACUGUGAGUCUGGUGUGAACUGGCAGUUAGAAGGCUAGCAGGGUGAGGAGGACAUCUGCCUAUAAGGGUGACCCGGCAUGAGGCAGAACCUGAGCAGAGUAAGGGAGAGACCCAUGUGACCUUGGUGGGGUGUCAUUGUCUGAGCAAGUUGAGGAGGAUGUUCACGUGGGGUAGGGGCUAAGAUGAAGAGUUAGAGUCUGAGUAGGGUAAGGGGGACAUGCAAACUGGCUUUUGAGUCCUUGGAUGGGGAAUAGGUGAUGACAGAGAUGGAAAUCUGGCUACAUACAGAGGAAUUGGUUAAAUAGAUAAAUAAAUAUAUGAAAGACAAUGGGAGUUAGUUUCUUACUAUUGUAAAAAGGGUUGUAAAUAUAGCAAAGGAGAAGAGUAGAUGAACCAUGAAGAUUGGGUUCAACACUACUGGUAUGAACUCAUGAUUUUUAAUAUAAAUAGAUAAAGAUAGAUAAAAAAUAUAGUUGUGUAUUUAUAAACACUCUGAACGUGUGUUUUUGUAUGUGUUAUGUACAUACACAUAUAUAUCCACUUGCUCUGUCCACUGAGAAGACUUUGGAGCAGCUAUUCUCCACAAGAAUGGACCCAAGGGUUCUUUGAGAAACACUGCUUUCAGGUCUGGAGCAGGGGAAGUUUGGUGGGUCUAGGUCAUCUUGUGGCAAAAUAAAUAACUCAGACCUUCUUGGAGGUGUUUCCACUGGCUGAACCAUGUUAUCCUUGCAUAUUAAAAUAACUAUGAUUUUAAUAGAUUAUAACCCACUGAUAAAACAAGAAAGCAGGAGUCCAUGGUGAUAUAAUUAACAAGAUAAUUAUAUCACAGGAUAUUUAAAUAGUUUAGAAGUAUAUCAUCACAAAAUAUUAGUUAGAAAGGAAUUUCACAGUGGAGAAAGAUGGGUGGUAGGUCUCAUGUUAAUCUAGUGAUCAAAGUGAAUGCCAUUAUCAAUGAGACAAAUUAAAAUUAUGUCCCAAUUUUAAUACCAGAAAUGUAUAAGAUCAGGUAAAUCCAGAUUGGAGAACAUUACAAAAUAACUGGCCUAUGAUUGGCAAAGCAUCAAGGUCCUCAAAGUCAAGGAGAAAGUGAAAACCUCUUGCAGCCUAAAGGGGACUAGAAAUUCAUAAAAGUAAACACAACACGUGAAUCUGAAUGCUUAGAUCACUUUGCUAUAAGGACACUACUAGGACAACUGGAGAAACUUACUGUUGUCUACAGAUUAGAGAAUUUUAUUAGUGUUAAUUUCCUGAUGUUGAUAGUUAUAUGAUUAUAUAAAAUAAUGUCCUUUUUUUGCUGGAAACAGAAAAUUUGGGAUUGAGGGACAAUGGGACAUGAUAUCAGCAAUUUAUUCUCAAGUGGUUUAGGAAAAUAAAAGAUUUUGUGCUGUACUUCUACAUUUUUUCUUAGUUUAUGAUUAUUUUUAAAAUAUUACAAGAAAUGCCUCUUGAAUUCAGUGUAAGAAAGUGUGAACAAAUUACUUAAAAUAAAUUUCAGAAGUUAUUCCUAUCAUUUUAUCUAAUGAUUAAUUAAUGCAUCUACAAGUGUUGUCUUCAUACAAAUUUUAUUAAGUUAUCCUCUUGUAUAAACCUAGAAAGAGCAAAUUGGAAAUGUUCCUCUUGAAUAUUUUUAGAACUGGCAAGAAUAUUUCUUCAGGUGAUAGAGAAUCAGAACUAUCUGAAAUUCUCUGGAAGCACAUUUUUAAAAAUGUUUACAUCACAUUUUGAUUGGCCAUAUUUUAAAUAAGAAUUCUCAUUAGUAUUCUUAUUUUCUGAUCAUAAUUGAUCCCACUCUUGAUUAGUUAAUAUAAUUCUUUUAAACAUCAACUAUUUUUCUGUGCUGUGAUAACAAGUGAUAGCUUCAGGAUAUAUAUAUAUAUAUAUAUAUAUAUAUAGGAAUACAGGACUUUUAAUUUAUUACUAAAUGGUCCUAAGAUUCUUAUUCUUUUCCUCCCUCCCUUUCCCACACCUUUGCCUCUCCUCGUCAUCCCCCUUCUUUUCCUCUCCUACUCUCUUUUUCUCAUUCAGGAAUAAGAAAAUGCUAAUUAUUGCUACAAAUCUUCAAUACUGUGCUAGAGGACUAACCCCAAAUAAUAAUUUUGAUGAGAAAAAAGAAAGAA
rnacentral:lncRNA from 1 species